rnacentral:ncRNA from 1 species
AACUUAGUUUGGUUUUGGCUAAUAUCUGUUAUUAGCUUUACGUUAGAUUAAUACAUGGUAAAGAAAUUUUUGAAUUGUGAGUAGAUAUUAGGCUGUUUUUUAGCCUUAAGGGUGAUGUUUAGCUGCCUAAUUUUGAUAUUAAGUUGUUAAAAUGUCUAGAAUAUUCCACAACACCAGUAUAGAAAUUUAUUUAAAUAAAUGUAAGUUUGAAAUAGGUAGAUGUAAAAGAACUAGUAAAUAAUUGUGCCAGCAACUGCGGUUAUACAAUUAGUUCGAGUUAAUAAAAAUCGGCUUAAAAGGUAGUUAGAAAUAAAAUAUAAGAUGUAAGAAGAAUUUGAUUAUGGGUUAAAUCUGUAAUUUAAUUUUAAUUUUUUAGGUGUCUGAAUUUUGAAGCUACGAAAUUUUAGUUAAAAACUGGGAUUAGAUACCCCAUUAUUCUAAAAUUUGAAUUGUAAUAUUAUUUGCCUGGGUACUACGAGAACACUUCUUAAAACCCAAAAGACUUGGCGGCACCUUAUAUCUUUUUAGGGGAACCUGUCCUGUAAUCGAUAAUCCUCGUUUAACCUAACCUUCUUUUGUGAUUCAGUUUAUAUACCGCCGUCGUCAGGUUACUUUUUAAAAUAAAGUAGUAAGCUAAAUAAUUUAUUACAUUAUUACGUCAGGUCAAGGUGUAGCUUAUAAGAAGGGUAGAGAUGGGUUACAAUUUUUAAUUAGGAAACAUAGAUUGUUAUUUGAAAUAUUAACAUGAAAGUGGACUUAAUAGUAAAGUUAUAGUAAGAGAGGUAACUUGAAUAUUGCUCUAGGUGUGCACACAUCGCCCGUCGCUCUCGUUAUUGAAAUGAGAUAAGUCGUAACAAAGUAGGUGUAACGGAAGUUGCCCCUAGA